UAAAGUCGUAACAAGGUCUCCGUUGGUGAACCAGCGGAGGGAUCAUUA
rnacentral:rRNA from 1 species